rnacentral:rRNA from 1 species
UACAGAGACUGCAAGCGUUAUUCGGAUUCACUGGGCGUAAAGGGUGCGCAGGCGGCCAAGUGUGUUGGGCGUGAAAGCCCGGGGCUUAACCCCGGAAUUGCACCCAAAACUACAUGGCUAGAGCAUUGGAGAGGGUAGCAGAAUUCACGGUGUAGCAGUGAAAUGCGUAGAUAUCGUGAGGAAUACCAGAGGCGAAGGCGGCUACCUGGACAAUUGCUGACGCUCAGGCACGAAAGCGUGGGGAGCAAAAGGG